rnacentral:piRNA from 1 species
UUAACUGUAGGCCGCUUCACGC